rnacentral:tRNA from 1 species
GAGCCCGUAGCUCAGCGGUAGAGCAGCUCCCUUUUAAGGAGAAUGUCGCAGGUUCGAUCCCUGUCGGGCUCA